ensembl:lncRNA
AUAUAAUGUGUGAUUUCAGCUGGGUAAAUGUAGGAGCCCUGGCUACGGCUGCAAAGGGGCAGCUUGCAAAUUAAACACACGGCCACCAUCUGAAAGGUCCAGGUGGUCCGCUCCUGUUUCCGAAUGCAAUCCAGCACAACAGCUCUAAUAAACAGCUCUGUUUAGUUCUCCCUGCGCUGUAUCCAGGGAGGUGAGGCUGGUCUGGGGCUGCUGUGAUGAAAUGCCAGAAGGACAUCUCUCAGAGGCCUCACAAGCUGCUUUUGAGAGCUUUUCCGCUUUGCCGUCUUUGUCUUCCAAAUGGCUUCUUAACACAUUGCCUGGAACAAAUAAAACCAAAAAGAGGAAGUUCAUGCAACCUAAGCAGAACUAAAUUGGAUGAAGAAUCUCUUAAAAGCUCAGACAGCAAGAAAAUGAAAAACCCUCCAUGUUCCUCAGAUGUUUCUUUUGCUUUUGAGACUAGCCUCUUUGACACUGUGAGAAUCUCACUACUUAACCUUUUUCUCAUCCCUCAAGAGCCCAUGAAUCAUCAUAACUUGUUUUCCAGCAGCUAUGAAUCCCUUCGGAACUGCUCAACAUUGCUCCAUGUAUAUAGAGGAUGAUGCUGGAAUUGUUCAGAGUACACCAACCUACUCUCCCUUAAGUUUAUAAUCAGAAACUGUUUCCCUAGGAUAUACACAUGAAAACACACGCACAUACAUACAAACUGCAUUUUACUUGUUGUUUUGAAAUCAUUUCCAAAUAUUAUGUUCAAUGCUUUUGCUAGAAGAGUAAGCCUUCCAACAUGCUUUCUGGACGACUGACAAUAAUACAUUUAUUAAAUUUCCUUCUGUUCUCUAUAAGUACUAGGAAAUAAAGUUCAGGCAAAUACUGUGAAUUCCUAUAUUAUUUUGUAUAUUUCUGCUGUUAUUGUUCUUGCUGCUAGUUUAAUUCGAACAUUCGAAACAUUCAAGCUACAACAGAAGUGACCCUGGCAGUCCAGUUUAUUUUAACAUUGGACUGAACCUUUCCUAUAAAACAUUUAAAGGAGUGAUCUACCGUAUAUACUCGAGUAUAAGCCGAGCCGAAUAUAAGCCAAGGCACCGAAUUUUACCACAAAAAACUGGGAAAACUUAUUGACUCGAGUAUAAGCCGAGGGUGGGAAAUGCAGCAGCUACUGGUAAAUUUCAAAAUAAAAAUAGAUACCAAUAAAAUUACAUUAACUGAGGCAUAAGUGGGGUAAAUGUUUUUUGAAUAUUUACCGUAUUUCAAAGAAAAACAGUAAGCUAACUCUGUAAGUGCAUAAGUAGGGUCAACAAAAACAAUAUGGUAUCAACAAUAACUUUAUAAUAAUCAUUAUCAUCAUCAACAACAAUAACAACAACUUCCUUUGUAUCCUGCUUUAUCUAUCUCCCCAUGGGGACUCAGGCCGGCUUCCAACAUAGUAACAGGCAAACAUUCAAUGCCUAUAUAAACAAUGCAGGGCUAGAUAUAGCUCUAUAAUUAUAUAUACUAAUUUCACAUUUGCAUUUUCCCCCUGAAAAGUUUGCAAAUCCUCUCUCUAUAUAUGUGCAUUUCCCUCCUGCAAUAUUUGCAAGUCCCAUUUAUCUGUGUUUACAUCUAUCUAGACAUCUGUGUAUGUGUCAAAGACAGAACGCCAGCGAGUAAAACAAAACUCAGUUUAUUGAGGUUACAGAACUAAAAACGCCCGUAGGAGACAAAGAACAGGGCAAACACUUGACUUCAGUGUGAUAAGUAACAAAAAACAACUCAGUUUGAGCUUAAACAAUUCAAAGGGAUAAACCGGGUUAAACAGAAGUAUAAUCCGGAUUAAAUCAAAAGUGCUUACUUCAGCCUGGCAAACAAUGCAAACAAAAGAGGAUCAACAGGAGUCAGAAUGUAAACAACAGACUGGUAGCAGAUUCCUCUCUGCUACUCAGAAACAGCAGGAGAAUAAACCAGGCUUGUUUAUUCCUCCCUGCAACAAACGAAAAGCGUGGUCGUAGUCAGGAUUCAAUUUAAGGUUCAGCGGCCAACGAUAUCCAGGUCCAGGCACAGCAGUCAGGGUAACGGCAGUCAGCAGGGUCCCAAUCCGGUCCAGAGGUCAAUAGCCAAACGUAGUCGUCUAGAAAUCCAAAGGUCUCACCGAUAGCCAGCAGAAGGGAUAAUCCGGAAUCGAAGUCAGUCAGUCCAGCGUCAAUCCAGUGCGAGUAGAUAUUGCCGUCAAAAAGACGACGGGGGGUCAAAGCUAUCGAGAUUAAACACAAGUUGCACAGAGAAAAACCCCCGUACAGUUCCUCCCGGCCGUCGAUGCCCAGUGUCCUUGGUAAACUUACGUAUCCCGGUAAAGGAAUCACACCCGUCUUCAGGAAGUCCCCCAACAAAAGCCCAAACCGUCCGUCCCGAUUAACCUUGCCCAACGCAAUUAGACAUGGGGCCCCAAACCCCAAAUUUUAUCCCAG